GACGAACGCUGGCGGCGUGCUUAACACAUGCAAGUCGAACGGAAAGGCCCUGCUUUUGUGGGGUGCUCGUGUGGCGAACGGGUGAGUAAAACGUGAGUAACCUGCACUUGAAUUUGGGAUAACUUUAGGAAACUGGGGCUAAUAUCGGAUAGGAGCUCCUGCUGCAUGGUGGGGGUUGGAAAGAUUCGGCGGUUGGGGAUGGACUCGCGGCUUAUCAGCUUGUUGGUGGGGUUGUGGCUUACCAAGGCUUUGACGGGUAGCCGGCCUGAGAGGGUGACCGGCCACAUUGGGACUGAGAUACGGCCCAGACUCCUACGGGAGGCAGCAGUGGGGAAUAUUGCGCAAUGGGCGGAAGCCUGAUGCAGCAACGCCGCGUGCGGGAUGACGUCCUUCGGGUUAUAAACCUCUUUCGCCUGUGACGAAGCGUGAGUGACGGUAAUGGGUAAAGAAGCACCGGCUAACUACGUG
rnacentral:rRNA from 1 species